CCCUGACUUGUGACCUUACUCACGAGUCAGGUACUGCUGCCCAAUGCCACACAACUAACCACCCUGCAGCAGCAACCUACACUGACGCCAACCCCCACCUAAAAACGACCAUCCACGACAACCCUGGCGGAACAGAUAUACAAGCGCCAUACUAUCCUCAGACAGUUAACUAAUAAGACCAACACAACGCUCAGCACCCCAACUACGACCUCCUCAUUGAAGCAUGAAUACUAACAACACAAACAGAGGAGCUGAAUAUACGACUCCCUACAAACAGGGAUCCGCGACAGACGGGAUAGUAAUGAUGCUUCGGCCCAAAGUGCCAGACACGAAAGCAAACGAACUAAUGUCGUACCCAACUAGUUUCUCCCAAAUAACCACCCCGUUCUUUUCUUCUUUCUGUACAAAAUGUUCAAAUGUGCAAAUGAAACCUGAAAAUGAAAAUAAAGAAUCUUUAAAAAAAAAAAAAAAAAUAUAUAUUGCAAACAAAUACACCAGCUAACACACAGACACAAUCUGGCAUACAUAUACACAUACACACAGAUAUACACUUACAGAUGCACAAGGCAUAUACAAAGAUACACAAUAUCAGACAUACUAUGAUUGUGUGUGUCAAUAUUUGUGUAAUUUGCAUCUCUGCAUAAGUGUGUUUGCAUGUGUGUGUAUGUGCGCAUGUAUUUUUGUGUGUGUCCAAAAAGGCAAAAUGGCUGUAAUGUGAAGACGAUAUGGUAUGGACAAUGUCAUUGUAAUGUGGCAGCAUGUACAAUAUACAUGGAACAACAUUAUAUAUAUAUAAGGUAUUUAUGGACAAGGAAAUCUACUUAUUUCCUGAGUGCAGUUCUUU